UAAACAAGGGAAAAGUGGAAAGG
rnacentral:piRNA from 1 species